AACGAACGCUGGCGGCAGGCCUAACACAUGCAAGUCGAGCGCCCCGCAAGGGGAGCGGCGGACGGGUGAGUAACGCGUGGGAACGUGCCCUUUGCUACGGAAUAGCCCCGGGAAACUGGGAGUAAUACCGUAUAAGCCCUACGGGGGAAAGAUUUAUCGGCAAAGGAUCGGCCCGCGUUGGGUUAGGUAGUUGGUGGGGUAAUGGCCUACCAAGCCGACGAUCCAUAGCUGGUUUGAGAGGAUGAUCAGCCACACUGGGACUGAGACACGGCCCAGACUCCUACGGGAGGCAGCAGUGGGGAAUCUUAGACAAUGGGCGCAAGCUUGAUCUAGCCAUGCCGCGUGAGCGAUGAAGGCCUUAGGGUUGUAAAGCUCUUUCGUGGGGGAAGAUAAUGACUGUACCCCAAGAAGAAGCCCCGGCUAACUCCGUGCCAGCCGCCGCAGUAACAC
rnacentral:rRNA from 1 species